GAGAGAGAGAGAGAGAGAGAGAGAGAGCUGUAAAUUUACAGCCGCCGUGCAACGUGAAACGGGAUUGAGAAAGAAAAUUUGAGAACACAAAGUUGAAUUUGUGUGGCUGUGGAUUUUGAAGAAUAAAGAGCAAGAUUUCAAUGAUUUUGGCCUCACUGAUUCAAUAAGGGCAAUAAAGAAAGAAAAGGGUUAUGUAACUGUCAACAAACCAUAAAUGAAGAAUUGAUUUUGGCUUUAACGCAGAAGCUACGAUUUGUUGCUUCUAAUAGAAUCGAUUCUGCACAAGAGAAUCACGUUGAAGGCCAUAAANNNNNNNNNNNNNNUGAGAAAACCACGUUGAAGGCUGCAAAUGCACGUUAAAGGGCUGCAAACUCAAAAC
rnacentral:lncRNA from 1 species